GUCUUCGUGGCUCAGUUGGCUAGAGCGUUGGUCUCAUAUUCAAUAUGACCCAGUCCCAGAUUGGGUGAUCCAAAGGUCGUGAGUUCGAGCCUCACCGAGGACA